GCCUUUGUGGUGUAACGGUAGCGCACUAGGUGCCUAUUCAAGAAAUCCAGGUUCGAGUCCUGGUGAAGGAA
rnacentral:tRNA from 1 species